CGACGUCGGAAGCGGGCGUUCUUGGAUCUGCAACGCGAGUUCGUCAAAUUUUGAUCUCGUUUUGACUGAUCUCCACGAUCGAAAUCGUUCAAAUUGUAGAGCUCAUGAAGAAAAUAAACAGUGUUAAAGAUCGUUUGAAUCGAAAUCUGAAUGAUGCAUGAUCGGAGAUUAUCAAAGUGAAUUAAUUUUUAUGAAAAUAGAUUUUGGCCACACUGUAUCAAAUCCAUUAAAUUCACUCCGACGACGAAGGGACGUCCCCGACGGAAAAGGAAAAGGAUUCUCACUCCAUUGCUCAACAGUUGUUAACAGGUAUAAUGUGAAAAGUGAUAUCAGUUUCCUCAUAAUUCCAGUGGGCUGUAUAUCACAACAUAGGGCAUUUGAUAUAAACUGAAGGUCAUCGACAUCUCUAAAUCUGUACUGAAGUAUAUUGCAAUAUUUUGUUUGUUCGUAUAUAGUGGUAGAUGACAAGUCAACUGAAAAGAGGGGACCAGUGUCAGAUUCAAAUGAUUCGAGAGUGUCUCAGACCCUUUGGAUCACUACUAUUCAAAGCCCUGUAGUUUGAAUCGUUUGAUUUGUCAAAUAAUAAUUGUUUCGCGGAUGAAAACAGUAUUUUCCACAAGAAGAUCAUGAAAAUCCUCCAAAAAAGUAGUGAUCCAGGAAGACAUUUUCGUGGAAAAUUCUCCAAAAGAGUCUCCCUGAAUCCCAUCUACAUCCGGGCAUACGAAUACCGGAUCGACCUACUUCGAGCUGUGAUCGUUGGAGCCCACGGACCCCCCACCACGACGGCUUCUUCUUCUUCGACAUCGCCUUCCCUUUCAACUACCCGAACGACCCUCCAAAAGUCUAUUACCACUCCCAUGGCCUGCGACCGAAUCCCAACCUAUAUGCAAGCCGGUAUGUGUGCUUGAGCCUAAUCAACACUUGGCAUUGGCAACAUGAAAGUGAAGUGGAACUGUUCUUUGUUCUCUAUUCUUCAGCUACUGGUUUCCAUUCAAGGGCUUUUGCUCAAUGAGAGACCCUACUUCAAUGAGCUGGGACACGUGUACACUGAAGAUUGAGUGGAAGUCUCUAGGGCUUAGAAUGAGGAUGCCUUAGCUUUGUCAUGUAAGACUAUGGCUUACGUAUUGCGUAGUCUGCCCAAAAAUUUUGAGGAUUUCGUUUAUGUACACUUUCGUAGUCGCUCAUUUGAUGAAUUGAACGCAGUUAGCGCUUAUGCUUGUGCCAUCGUUGGUUGGUAUCGAAGCAUCUCAGGUGAGCUAGUCUUAAGAGGUAAUGCACUACCUUUUAUGUGAAAUACUAAGCCUCAGUGUUCUUGUGCCGGUCCUUACACGGGUUAAGGUGGCAACGAAUGGGGGAGAAGAUUUUGCCAACCGAUAUACCUCAGCUGGCGGAUGCAAAAGAGACACGAAAGAAUGGGAAUUGUCUGAGAUCCACAUUUACUUUGUUGUGUUUCUUUGAGUCUAAUUAUUUUAUGCUCUUGUUUUUUGAUUUAUUCUCUUGUUGUCUCUUUGUUUCAUGAGCAUGAAAAAUGGUGUUAUUGACAGGUUUAUAUGGUGAUGGAAUGGAACAAGAGAGGAAAUUUUGCUUGUUGCUAUGUUCAAAUGUGUCUUAGGCCCCGUUCUAGAACACCUUCUUAAAAAAUAAGUACUUAUUUCAUAUUUUCAAACUCAAAAAUAAUGUAAAUGAAAAAUAAUUUUUCAAUUUUUUUUGCAUCGUAUUAAAGAUCUCAAUGAGAUCUAUCAAACAAGAUCUAUAUUGCAUAUUUUUAGAUUUCAAUAAGCCUAUAAUUUUUGAGCUUGAAAUUGCCUUCUUAAAAAAUAAAGACUUAAAACCCGUUCUGGAACGGGGCCUUAGUCCAUUGGUUUGAUGACAUUAGUAGUGUCUUUAAAUUUGUGUUGAAAUGGGUUUGUGGAAGAAAAGGGAACUUCCUAUGGGGUUGUGUGUGUCUGUGUUGGCGAGAAAUUUGAACUAAACCGAGGAUCUCCACUUACAGUUGAGUUUGAGAUUCGCUAAUGUGAUUUGGUUCUUUUUUUUCCCCAAACAAUUAUGGUAGUCUUAUUGAUGCUUGCUAAGUUGGUUUGAGUGAGAGUGCAGAAACUACUUUUCUAGUCGAUUUUUCUUGGUGAUCAUGUAUUGUUGCUGUUAUACCAUUGCUCUCCUGCUGCUCCAUGGUUUGCUCAUAGGCUUGAUAUUGGUUUUGCUCAUGCGCUGUGGAUUGAUUGGCCUGGUUUUGUUCUCUUUCUGCAACGUAUUCCUUUGGUCAUGGAUGUUGCUGCAAUAUUCCUUGGUCUAAGGUCUCGGUUGGGUUCAAUGCUAUAUUUCUUGAAGGAUUUAUGUUCUUUGAAGGUUAUGUUCAAAGUUUUUCCUUCGGUUCAGUCUCCCCCUCUCUUCUGAGGAGGCUUUGAUACGUCACUGGUGCUGGUGGAAUUGAUCAAGUUUACAAGCGCAUCCUUGGUUCGCUAGCUGCUGCUGCUGUUUUUGCUUCUAUUUUGGUUUUAGCUCAUUGCUUCUGUUUUCUAUUGUUUGGCUAUAUGCCUUGUUAGGAGUUGAUUUCAUCAACCUCCUAUCAUGUACUCUAUUUCUAUUCUCUCAAUAUAUUUCCUUUUGCCGAUCGGGAAAAAGGUGGGAAAAGGAUGAAUGUUCCUACAAA